rnacentral:rRNA from 1 species
UACAGAGGUCCCAAGCGUUGUUCGGAUUCACUGGGCGUAAAGGGUGCGUAGGCGGUCGGGUAAGUCUGAUGUGAAAUCUCACAGCUUAACUGUGAAACUGCAUUGGAUACUAUCCGGCUCGAGGAAUGGAGGGGAGACUGGAAUACUUGGUGUAGCAGUGAAAUGCGUAGAUAUCGUCUGGAACGCCGAAGGUGAAAACAGCUCGCUGGGGCUGCGCUGACGCUGAGACACGAAAGCCAGGGGAGCGAACGGG